GCUUGAAGCUAAUAAUGAAGAGCUAAGUAGACAACUAAAUGAGUACCGCAGAAGAGGCUCUAGCACUGAGAAAUAUGAAACAGAAGUUAAAGUUAGUGGUGCCGUUCCAGUGAAAAGUGAAGGCCUUAAAAGAGGCUUGCAAAGCAUGGAUUCAUCUGGUUAUCCUGUGAAAGAAAAUGGUGAUCCAGGAGAUAUGGAAGAAGAAGCAGCAAAAGAGUGGGAACACACUCUCCUGCAAGACUCCUUAGACAAAGAAUUGAAUGAAUUAAAUAGGCGUUUAGAGCAGAAAGAGGU